rnacentral:sRNA from 1 species
UGUGGUGUGAGAGGGUAUGUAAGAAAGCACUUGGGGUCGAAACACGGCAAGACUCCCAGGUGUUUUCUAUU